AACGCACAUUGCGCCCCCUGGUAUUCCGGGGGGCAUGCCUGUCCGAGCGUCAUUACAACCCUCAAGCCUAGCUUGGUGUUGGGCUCCGCCGCCUGGCGGGCCCUAAAGUCAGUGGCGGUGCUGUCCAGCUCCGAGCGUAGUAAUUUCUCGCUCUGGAGGCCUGGGCAUGUGCCUGCCAACAACCCCCCAAUUUUAUCAGGUUGACCUCGGAUCAGGUAGGGAUACCCGCUGAACCUAA
rnacentral:misc_RNA from 1 species